rnacentral:tRNA from 1 species
GCCUUCGUGGUGUAGUGGUCAGCACGCUCGACGCGUAACUGAGAGGUCCGUGGUUCGAUUCCCUCCGAAGGCG